GGUAUUUUGACCGUGCAAAGGUAGCAUAAUCAUUAGUUUUUUAAUUGAAAGCUGGAAUGAAAGGUUGGAUGAGAAAAAAGCUGUCUCUAUUUAAUUUAUUUAGAAUUUUAUUUUUAAGUUAAAAAGCUUAAAUUUAAAUAGAAGACGAGAAGACCCUAUAGAGUUUUAUUAAUUUUUUUUAUAAAAUUAAUAGUAUUUUUUAUUUUUAUAAAAAUAAUUAAUUUAGUUGGGGUGAUUGAAAAAUUAAAUAAACUUUUUUUUUAUAUACACAUAUAUAUAUGAUUAAUUGAUCCUUAAUUUAAGAUUAAAAGAUAAAAUUACCUUAGGGAUAACAGCGUAAUUUUUUUUGAGAGUUCAAAUCGAAAAAAAAGAUUGCGACCUCGAUGUUGGAUUAAAAUAAAAUUUUGGUGUAGAAGCUAAAG
rnacentral:rRNA from 1 species